GAUUCGGGGCCCAAUUCCCCGGGUGGAAUUUACAAGCGUUUUGCCUUCUCCUCCUGAUCUAACACCAGCUUAGAGAAUUUCUUCAAGCCAGCCUUUCUCUUUAACCCCUGCGGCUCCGGCAGAUAGCAGUCCAGCCAUCCUUGCUAAGUUCCUGAGAUUCCCUCCAAGGUCUGGGCUUUUCUCCAACACGUGGCUCCCUGCUACCAUCUGAGAAGUCCCUGAUGCUGAGGUCUCUGCUGACUUGCCCCGAAGGAUUGCCGACACAAGGACAUUUAUGUCUUCCCCACAGGGAAAAACACCCCAUUAGAAGCUGUCUGUAACUGUGAAACAAACAGCCCCGAGACUUGAGACUGGUUACCGGGAAGCAGCGAUAACUCGGUGUUAGCCCGUGCAGUUUCUGUGGGUGGAGGCCUCUGCCUCUGCCUCUGGCAGAAGUCUGGUUACUCAUAGGAUCUCCAGGGAGCUGCAGUGACACCAGAGGAGGGCUACUGGAAAUGGCACCAGGACAUCAUAUGUGUUUUCCAGAUCCCAACAUGGAAGAAUUGGAAAGGGAAAGGCAUUAUAUACUCAAGGAUGCUGGUGGAGUUUAUCCCCAGCCUGUUGUGUUUCCGGGCCUCGGCUUGGAGACAGAGGUGGCUUCCUCCCUUCCCUGGGGGAGGCUUCAUUCCUGACUCCUGACCUGCCUCUUCUCUAGAGCAGGUCCUGCAUCCUUACUCUCUGAGUGAUCCUGACUGGCAAGAAGGGACAGCAGUGAAGAGCCUAACAGAACCAAGCCUAUGGCUCCUGCUUCUCAGCCUGGCAAGCCCACCUGCAGGAAACCUGAUUGCACCCUCAUGGGACCAUCCCUUCUCUGUCCCCAAAGCACCCAGUACACCUGGGCCUUCUUCAGGAUCCCACUCUUUCCCUUCUCCCCUCCUUUCUUUCUUCCUCCACCUCUGCCUUUCUCCUUUCUGCCACGCACUGCCUGACCCAUCAGAUGUCAGUGUUUGCUGGUUAGACUGCAGUGGCGGAGAGCAGUCUCUCCAGGUUGACCUCCAUCUCUGCCGUACACGGCUUUGGGAAGUUCCUCUGGCGCUCCAGGCUUUCAUUUCAUCGCCUUGAAUGAAGGUUCUUCUGGGGGAUGAAAUAAAGUAGUCGUUGGUCGUCGCUCUGUCAAGACUGAUAGAUGAGUAAAUCCCGGAGACUUCAGAAAAGGAAGCCAGAGGAAACUGCCACCCUGCUGAGCCCCGGAGCUGCUGGCAGGCAGAGCCCCCUCUCUCUAAGUCACUACCAGACAGGCUGGCAGGAAAGUCUGCAAGAAUAUGGGCUUGAUGACAGGGAUGUCCUAAGAGGGAUGUCUCCAAGUCCAACCUCUGCCCUUGGAUCUCUCAGGUGCGAAGAAAGCACAGGUUCCCCUGUGGUAUCCAGCCCUCUGUGAGUCCCACCAUCUGCUGGAUCCAGAAGGGCCUCCUCUCUUCACAGGGAGCCCGAGGCAUUGCUUUCACUAAGGGCCCAGAAAAACUGCAAGCUUUGGUGCUGAGAGCCCCCCAAGCUCCCCGCGAAUGCCGUGAUUGCUAAAAAUUUGCUUCAUUCUGAUUUUGCCUCUUGCUGGCUGAAGGACUGGAUUUUAUACCAGGUCAAUUUCAGACCAUUUGAUAUUGAUAUAUGAAGAUCCCAGGGGAUUACUGAAUGCAUUUCUCAUCCUGCCUAGAUAGUAUCAUAGAAGGAAAAUGGGAUUGACUGUUAAGGACAAAUUGAGAAAGACAUGGCCAUUUAAGAUAACUCCUUAUCUGUAUACAAGCAAAUGGUAUCUGGGAAAUAGACCACCAGUUGACAGC
ensembl:lincRNA C130026L21Rik uncharacterized LOC110313138